UACAACCACAUGCAGUAGCUAUAUUAGGUUUAUGCCUGUAAGCUCUUAUGUUUUAGCUAUUCAAUAUAUAUAAUGAAUAGCGUAUAUUUAUAUUACAUAUAUUCAUACAUUUCCAUUAUAAUAUUUUGUAGGUGAUAAAGAAGUGGUAAGUUGCCACCUUAUAUAUACUGUCAAUGGUUGCCACAACUAACCAAAAAGAUGAUUGACGGCCCCUGCUGGUUGAACCUGUGCGUCUGAGACAGAUGGUGAGGAUUCAGCUAGCUAACUGCAGCAGCAUGGCUAAAACACUCUGGAUGGCGUUGUUGGUCCGUCCACCAUUUUGGUCCAGGCUAAAAUAUCCUGCUGCCCAGAGGAUGACGCCUGCUGACCAGAGGUUGGAUCGGAUCACUGUUUUCUAAGACACAAGUAAGUCUCAACUCUCAAAUCAAUACAGGCAAGUUGCAAGUCAAUUCCUAAACAAGUCACAAUGUGCUCUUCAUCCUGCAGUUUGAUUGAAGGCUGUUGGAUUGGUAAAGUGGAUCUGAGGAAUUAAGUGUCGAUGUCCUAACUUGUUUUAGGAAAUGAAGGGAAAUCAACAAAACUGUGGCACUAUUUUUAAAUAAUCUUUGUAUUUGUGAAUAUAUCAACUAUUUUCAAAUCAAAGGCUCAAUGAGGUCACAGUUCACUGGUGUUAAAAUCUAAGUUGAGUUGCAAGUCUUUUACUGUCAAGUCGAGUCCAAACUAAUCAAAUUUGUGACUCGAGUCUGACGUAAAUCCAAGUCAUGUGAUUUGAGUCCACACCUCUGCUCCUUAGUGAGUUUGGAAGUCAGCUUAUUUUUCCUCCCGCCACCAUGAAGUUGAUCAUUUUGUUCUUUAUUGAAUUGUUUCAACAAUUACCAUUUAGUACAGACAUUUAUCAUGCCCAAAAGAUGAAGCCUACUGACUUGUGAUUAUCCAUGACAUUUCCUUUAAUGUCACCAGCAGCUCAAAGUUUAUACACAUCCAGUUAGAUAUCUCAGCGUAAACUGGAUGGAUUGGCACACAGCUAUGUACAAAUAUUCAUGGUUCUUAUGUGUAUUCUGAUGAUGCUCUGACUUUUCCUAUUGUGCCACCAUGAGGUUGACAUUGAUGAUUGAUUCAAGACAUUCAUGUCACAGUGAACUAGAAUUACUUUGUUGAUCUCCUGACGUUUCUAAGCCUCAGCUC
rnacentral:lncRNA from 1 species